rnacentral:tRNA from 1 species
GGGGGUAUAGCUCAAGAGGUAGAGUGCAUGCUUGGCAUGCCCGAGGUCCUAGGUUCAAUUCCCAGUACCUCCU